AUACUUACCUGGACGGGGUCAAUGGGCGAUCUAGAAGGCUCAUGGCCUAGGUUGGUGGCCGACAUUGCACUUAGUAGGGGUGCUUGCCUAUGGUCUCCUCACUGUAGGAGAGCCAACGUCAUAAUUUGUUGCCGUGGGGGCCUGCGUUCGCGCGGCCCCUAU